UUCUAUACAUCUAAUUGUUUCUCUUCUCCUUCAUCUUCCAUGAAUUUUCUUCGACAUUGUCUAUGGUGGGUUUUCCGACGUUAUUUCCGAUCACCGUCUCUCCUCCAAAUCCUUCUCUUUCUUCAUCGUCAUCUCCAUUUCUUCACAAACAAAUUCUAUAUCUAACUUUGUAUUUGACUCGUCACUUCCAUCGCUUUUAUACACAACACACAAUCAAUCAAUCAUCACCAAAUAAUUCACAAAAACAAAGAGCUUGGAAUAGAGAUACAAAGGUAAAGAGAGAAAAAGAAAUAAUUAGUUUACAUGAUUUUAGAAUGGAUUAAACUUUUCAAUUGAAGAAUUUGGGGAUGUAAAUUAUGUUUUUGUAAUUUAGAGAAAGAUCGAAGGGGAGAAAGAGGUGG
rnacentral:lncRNA from 1 species